UGUGGCCCGUGCUGGAGAUAGUAGUGGGCAGAGUAAUUCAGAGAAUUCAGGUUACUUCACUUCUGCCGGUGUGCAUGCUUCGACACUUUUAUUAAUUUGCUUUGUUUUGAUUUUAUUUUUUUUAAUCCAGACCUGCAUACACACACACACGUACGUGUUGAAGAACCUGCAGGCUGGAUUGUGUAGGAGCCCAAUUCUUCUGAUGCUGAGUGAUGAGGAAGACAACCCCCCCCCCAUUUGCCUUGAUGUACAGAGAGGCUGUGUGACACCCCUGAGGCAGAUGAAGUUUGCCGGGUUGAGGGUGGGGGUUACAGGGAGAACCCUACACCCCUUGCUAAUGAAUGAGACAUCAAGGAAAGGGGAUAAGCGGCCAUCUUGAAUUUUGGCACCUAUGUGUUAUGUCUGUAUUUCUCUACCAUAUCCUUCUGUGUUGGUACGGUCUGGUAAAAAAAAAAGGUGACAGAAAAAAAGACCAGACACAUUUUAGUUUAAUGGCUGAUGAGGGUUUUUGUGGAACAAAGCACUUCUCUGACAAUGAACGCCUAUAGCAGACAUUACCCUUUAGAGUGGUCUACAAGGUUAAAAUAUCCCUGUGGACCUGCACCCUAAUAGCAGACUGGUUAACUCUGAAGAGAGAACUGGCUGUAUACUGCACAUUGUGACGUUUUAGGUGGAAAAGUGUGGAGAGAAACAGGAUGAUAGUUGGUCUGGUGGGAUGAGUAGAGAGGCCUUUCUUAAGUGGUUUGUGGCAGAAUCAGAAGGAAUGCAGUUUAUGGGCAGGGUGCUGUUGAACUGGAAGGUGAUAAAUGUAGGGAUGUCAAGCUCUCUUUUUGGAUAAUUGGAGAAAAGAAGCGCUCAUGGUGGAAUGAGUUUGCUAGAUCAACAAGCAGUGGAGAUGAAAGGUCGAAGUCAAAGACGACUGAAGUGGGAGGAUGUUUGCUUAGGUGCUGCUGAAUGUUUGGUGUCAGGAGUUUCCACUUUAACAGAAACACUGAUAUUCACAACCUCUGGCAAAUUAGCUGGCAGAUAGCUGAGGAUUAUGACAGCAAAAAAUACUUGUUGGUUGAUGGCAAUUGCUGCUGAGUCACUUUGAAGCCAGUUGUUGAGGUCUUCAGCAUCACUUCAACCAGGAAAGUAUACUGGCAGCCAGGGUUGGGGCCAUUCCGGAAUGCAUUGAUCAAUUCCAGUCCAAAUCAGGAAAUGGAACUGGAGUUGGGAUUAGAAAAAA